UGCCCUUAGGUCCUCAAAGAAUAAUUUGUCAGUGUCCUGGCUGGGAGGCCUAUAGCAGACUCCCACGAUGACAUCCGCAUUUGUUUGCCCCUUGAUUCUCACCCAGAGGCUCUCAACUGUGCCACUGCCAACUGUGAGCUCCAUACAUUCUAACCCUUCUAUAACAUACAGUGUCAUCCCUCCGCUUCUUCUGCUCUGCAUAUCCCUCCUGAAGAGCCUGUAACUGUCCAGCAGGGCACUCCAGUCAUAGGAGUCAUCCCAUCAGGGGAACCAGGCAGAGGUUACAGAUCAAUACGAGCUACCUAAAGUCUAAGAGACCAAGACACAACCUUCCCACAAAAAACACCUUUCAAACAACCCAGCUAUGGCUCUUGUUGCCUUCAUUGGAGCUGCUGGAUAUUCAAAUGCUUGGGAAGACAGCUUAUAUUCAAGUAGCCAGUGAUGGUUUUAAGUGCUUUGCUCUGCGUUUGCAGUUGGAUUUUCACAUGCUGCUUUCUUUCCUCAAAAGGUGCUGGGGCUUUUUAAAUGGGCGCAGAAACGGUAAACACAAGUGGAAGAAGGGCUUCUGCCCCACAGACUCCAGUCUC